CACCCCCCAAGCCACUGGAGAGGGAGCUGGAGUUGCAUUCCUGAGGGCCAAGCUCACAGCCUAGGCUGGGAACAAACUUAUCUUCCUUGGCUGUGGGUUAAGGGUGGUUUGCAGCUGGGCUCCCCAAUCAGUGCUGGGCCUCCUGGAACAAGACUGGGAGUGGAAGGGCUGAGUGCUCCCAAGUACUAAGCCAAGGGGCCCACAGGCGUAUGGCUCACAGACCUGGUGCACGUGGCGGCCCAUGAGAUUGGCCAUGCACUGGGGCUGAUGCACUCACAGCAACACGAAGCACUCAUGCACAUCAAUGCCACACUGCGAGGCUGGAAGGCACUGUCCCAGGAUGAGCUGUGGGGAUUACACCGACUCUACGGCUGCCUGGACCGGCUAUUUAGAUGUACAUCCUGGGCACGAAAGGGAUUUUGUGACACCCACCAGAGGCUCAUGAAGAGGCUCUGUCCCAGAAGCUGUGACUUCUGCUAUGAAUUCCCAUUCCCUACUGUGGCCACCACCACACCACCCACCAGAAUGAAAACAAGGUUAGUGAA